rnacentral:rRNA from 1 species
UACGUAGGGUGCGAGCGUUAAUCGGAAUUACUGGGCGUAAAGCGUGCGCAGGCGGUUCGCAAAGUCUGAUGUGAAAGCCCCGGGCUCAACCUGGGAACUGCAUUGGAAACUAACGGGCUCGAGUGUGGCAGAGGGGGGUGGAAUUCCACGUGUAGCAGUGAAAUGCGUAGAGAUGUGGAGGAACACCGAUGGCGAAGGCAGCCCCCUGGGCUAACACUGACACUGAGGAGCGAAAGCCAGGGGAGCAAACGGG